rnacentral:sRNA from 1 species
CUGCUGCCCAUGCGGGGAAGGAUGAGAAGCUUCGACCAAGGUUCGACUCGAGCGCCAGCGAGAGAGCGUUGCCGCAGGCAACGACCCGAAGGGCGAAG